UCAGUACGCACAAAUGAUAA
rnacentral:misc_RNA from 1 species